CCUUUGACGUUAGCGGCGGACGGGUGAGUAACACGUGGGUAACCUACCUAUAAGACUGGGAUAACUUCGGGAAACCGGAGCUAAUACCGGAUAAUAUUUCGAACCGCAUGGUUCGAUAGUGAAAGGUGGUUUUGCUAUCACUUAUAGAUGGACCCGCGCCGUAUUAGCUAGUUGGUAAGGUAACGGCUUACCAAGGCGACGAUACGUAGCCGACCUGAGAGGGUGAUCGGCCACACUGGAACUGAGACACGGUCCAGACUCCUACGGGAGGGCAGCAGGC
rnacentral:rRNA from 1 species